rnacentral:lncRNA from 1 species
GUGGCAUCUGAGGAGUCAAGAAGCUUUUCUGGAGCUGUGUCUCAAUGCCUGCAAGACACUUAUUUGAGCACGGGCCACUUUUAGAUGGGAUGCAGUGACAGCAUUCAUGGGAUCUUGCCUGUGUAUGUGGAGGAGGAUGCUGGAAAUAACAACCUCUCAUUUAAGGCAGUGAGAGAGCAGCUGCCAGCCAAGAUCACCCCAGCCACCAGUAAAUAUAUGCCUUUGGAGUAGCUCUUGGUAAUACUAGUUUGGUAGGUCUGUGAUGAACUCAGAAGACACCACUGUAGGACCAUUCAGGGAAGCUGCAGUUCAAUCUGCCCAUUUGUAAGCUGCUUUUCUCUGGUUUCUAAAUAUUGCUAAUUCGAUUUAGAGACGGAACAGCUUCCAAGUAGCCUUAAGGUGAAAGUUAAUGAUCAGAUAUCUUCAUGCAAAGUUCGAAUUGCUUGCCCAUCAAGACACGGAGAUUUGUUUUGAGGGAUCUUUCUAUGUUUUCUACUAUACUGUCUUGCAGUAUUAGGGAAGUUACUACUACUAUCUGAGGGCAGGUUUAUGAGUUGUCCUGGCAUGUUUUUCUCCUGUACUACAGAACAAUUAUUUUUAAAUACUCCAAUAUCCCCUUUAAGGCAUAGGAGGAUAACUCAGCUGUGAAAACAUAGGUAUUCUCCAGCUGAUUGUAAAGAAUUAGCUUGCUCUUCUAGGUUUCUAUAUCCUCCUGAAUUAACUGGUGUUUGAUAAUACUGCUUUCUCCUAUUUUGUCUUUCUUUUCUCUAUUUCCUUUUGUUCAGCUGUUGUUUCUUUUACAAAUUUCUCUUGAUUCCUU